CUGCUUGGACAGCAGCUUUGAGGAAACGUGGGAUUCAUUAAAACAUUAAAUAGAUGAUGACCAGAAGAUGAGGUAAAGACAGACACUUAUGUUUCCAAACUUCAUGCUGUGAACAACUGAGAGAGAGAGAUUUAGAGGCUAAUUCACCCCUUCUCAUGUUAGAGYAGGCUGAGAGUUCUCCUGCUGUCAUUUACUUCAAGCUAAUCAAUGAUCUUCACCGRGAGCAGCUGCACUGAAGGGGCAGCUGCCUUCUCCCAACAAGAAAAGGAAUAAUCUGGAGAGAAGCAGUGGAAAUUAAACCUUAGAGUAGGACAGUAGUGUCGAUUGCAUUUUUUGAAAGAAUGUUUAUUGCCAAAUGUAACAUACUGCGUAAAAUUACUUUUGCUAUUAGGCUAUGAGCAGAAGUUUGCUUAAAAUAUUGCAUAGUCUUGAUUCAAAGAAUAUUUACACUYUAUGUGUUUGUGUGUGUGUGAAUUCAGGUUUGUCUGGUCUUGUUUACUAUUUUGUAAGUGUCAGAUUAUCUAGGACAACAAAUUAAUUAGUAGUAUUAGAUUUUAACAUCCUGACUUCUUUCUAAUCUAUUCACAUGAGCACUUCUCAAUGUCUAAAGAUAUACUACAGAAAAAGAAAAAAAUGGAAGUUAAUUAUCUCUUUGUAAAACCUCAUUUUAUGUUAAAAGGGAAGAAAGGGGUAUCUUCAAUAUAAAAUACUUUAUUAUGUUUGRAACUGCUAUUCAGUGUUAUUCCGAAUCUCCCUAAAUCAUCUAUUUUAAAAAAGAUUCACCUCCAUUCAAGAAAUGUGGUGUGAUUGCACUUAAAGAUGUUGAAGUGGUGCCAAACCAUACUGAAGUCAUUUGGAUGAUCUAAAGAGUAAGCAWCAAGGUCUCUGAAAUUUCUUUUCUCUCUCUGUUUUUACUGAUUGCUAAUACAAAAUCACAAGAAUAGGAAAAAAAUAAUUUUAAAUAGCUUUAGAAGUGCUGGCACUAAGACAAGUGAAACAGCUACUUUCACACUCUAAAAUGCUAUUUUUGCUCUUUCAUUUUACAUUCAUUUUCAGAACUUUUUCUGAGCUUUUUUCUGGGUAAGUAGUUCUGGAGAAGAGGUACUUGUAAGAAAAGCUGAUCGAAAAUAGACUAAGAAAGUGACUUCUGAAAACAGGGAGCAAUAUAUAACUUGUAAAUUAUGAGAGCAAAUGUUUUAGACAACUAUUGAAUAGUUCAGUCAUGUGCUUUUUUUGUAUUGACUUUCCCUUGACAUAUUGAGCCUUUGAUCUUCUUUUAGUCUUGCAUACAGUUUCCUGCUAUAUUGAAUCCUAUAUUAAAAAGUGCUCUCAUAAGUACAAAAUGGAGAAUCUUUAAUAAUGUCUUAAUAAGUGUAACACAGCUUUUCAAGCUCUUCUGUUUCUCACCUUUACAAGCACACCUCAUUCAUUGCUUACUGUAUAACUUCUCAGUUGCCUCCCCCCUAAAAAAAGGCAAAUACUUCAAAUGUAGUAUUUCUGUAGAAAAAAAGCAUAACUGUCAUGCACACGGGGCUGUUAAAAACACCAAAUUAAGGAAACUGUGGGGCAUACUACACACUAUCUGAUAACACAUUAUCAUACCUUGUCCAAAUUAAGCAGUUAUGGGUAUAUUGCUACA